AUGGGGCUAGCAGUCUGGGUUACAUGGUUUGCUCUCCCUGCACUCCCACGUAAGUGUUUAAUUGUCCAAUUUUCUUUUGCUUCUCUCCAGAAAGUGGGGAGGGACUUGUGGCUCAGUCCCAGGGCACCAAGUGUCCUCAGACUGCAGAACAGAGGGUCCCAUCACCUCCAAGAGGCUGCAUGAAAAAAAACAUAGUUACUUCAACUGAGGGUUUCAUAGACCAGCCAGACCCCAGCAGACCCACCAGCUCACCAGCAAUGCGUGUGAAUCCUGUCUUGUCCAGAUGAGCUGAGACAAGCCCACUUCAGGCCAUCCAACUUGCUGGCUUCAGAGAAAAAAGAGAUGCUUAUUGUUGAAGUCAUUGACAUUUAUUGACCAUAUACGAUGUGCCAGAAAUUGCUAAAUGCAGAGAACACAAAGAUGAACUAAAUAGGAUCCCUGCCCUUGAAUGUGUUGGAAGCGUUCACAAUGAGAUUAAGGUGGGAAAAUACUGUAGAAUCUAGUUCAUGGAGGGGGAAAAACUGCAACACUGUGGCUGUACUAAAGGCAGAUUCCCAGACCUUGGUCAUCCCUGAUCCAAUCAUUUCUUCAGAGGAAAACUGGUAAUCAGUGGAAAAACAGAAACAAAACAAAACAAAACAAAGCCAAUUCCUUUCUGAUCUCCACUUUUCCCUUCAAAUUCUUUUGUUAAAGAAGCAUUUGCAUGUGUUUGGCAAUGUGGAAGUUUUGGAGGCAGGAUAGAAAUGCACAGGGCAUCAAUAACAUUGCAGAGGUUCAAGGUCAGUGUUCACCAAUUAAAAUGCAAUUAUAAUUUCAAGUUAUAGUAUCCCUCCUCAGAUGAUAAUCUGAUCCACUGGACUUUAAACUCCUGAGCUUUGAGACUGUUCUAAUCAAGACUGUAUUGCAGUACCUAGCACGUAAAUGAGUAGCCUAGACAAUUAGGUAUAUAAUUUGCUUUUGCUUUAAGAGAACCAUUUCUAAAAGGUAAUCCUUUGACAUUUUCUUUUGUUUUAUUUGUUUGUCUUGUUUUAACUUUAUUUUAUUUCUUAAAAUAUUUGAUUUAUUUAUUUGAGAGAGAAAGAGAGAGAGAACAAGCACGAGUGGAGUGGGAAGCAGAGGGAGAAGCAAACUCCUCGCUGAGUAGGGAGCCUGGCAUAGGGCUGGAUCCUGGUACUCCAAGAUCAUGACCUGAGCCAAAGGCAGAUGUUUCACCUACUGAGCCACUCAGGUGCCC
rnacentral:lncRNA from 1 species